GGACUGUGACUCAGUUGGUAGAGCAUCUGGUUUGCUUGCAGAAGGUCCCAGGUUCAGUCCCAGGUAUCUCCA
rnacentral:tRNA from 1 species